UACGGGGGGGGCAAGCGUUGUUCGGAAUUACUGGGCGUAAAGGGCUCGUAGGUGGCCAACUAAGUCAGACGUGAAAUCCCUCAGCUUAACUGGGGAACUGCGUCUGAUACUGGAUGGCUUGAGUUUGGGAGAGGGAUGCGGAAUUCCCAGUGUAGAGGUGAAAUUCGUAGAUAUUGGGAAGAACACCGGUGGCGAAGGCGGCCAUCUGGACCGGAACUGACGCUGAGGCGCGAAAGCGUGGGGAGCGAACGGG
rnacentral:rRNA from 1 species